rnacentral:rRNA from 1 species
CCUACGGGCGGCAGCAGUGAGGAAUAUUGGUCAAUGGGCGAGAGCCUGAACCAGCCAAGUCGCGUGAAGGAUGACGGCCCUAAGGGUUGUAAACUUCUUUUGUCAGGGAGCAAUUGGGUCCACGCGUGGGCUUAUCGAGAGUACCUGAAGAAAAAGCAUCUGCUAACUCCGUGCCAGCAGCCGCGGUAAUACGGAGGAUGCGAGCGUGAUCCGGAUGUAUUGGGUGUAAGGGCUGCGUAGGUGGAAUAUCAAGUCAGCGGGAAAAAUUCGGGGCUAAACCCCGUCGUGCCGUUGAAACUGAUGUUCUUGAGUGGGCGAGAAGUAGGCGGAAUGCGUGGUGUAGCGGUGAAAUGCAUAGAUAUCACGCAGAACUCCGAUUGCGAAGGCAGCAUACCGGCGCCCAACUGACGCUGAAGCACGAAAGCGUGGGUAUCGAACAGGAUUAGAUACCCGUGUAGUC